UAGCUACAGGCUUAACACAUGCAAGUCGAGGGGCAGCAGGGAGAUAGCUUGCUAUCUUUGCUGGCGACCGGCGCACGGGUGAGUAACGCGUAUCCAACCUGCCCCGUACUCAGGGAUAGCCCGUUGAAAGACGGAUUAAUACCUGAUGUUCUCCUUUCUUGGCAUCUUGAUUGGAGCAAAGAUUGAUCGGUACGGGCUGGGGAUGCGUCUGACUAGCUUGCCGGCAGGGUAACGGCCUACCGGGGCAACGAUCAGUAGGGGUUCUGAGAGGAAGGUCCCCCACAUUGGAACUGAGACACGGUCCAAGCUCCUACGGGAGGCAGCAGUGAGGAAUAUUGGUCAAUGGAGGCAACUCUGAACCAGCCAAGUAGCGUGCAGGAUGACGGCCCUAUGGGUUGUAAACUGCUUUUAUGCGGGGAUAAAUGAGCCUACGUGUAGGUUUUUGCAGGUACCGCAUGAAUAAGGACCGGCUAAUUCCGUGCCAGCAGCCGCGGUAAUACGGAAGGUCCGGGCGUUAUCCGGAUUUAUUGGGUUUAAAGGGAGCGUAGGCGGUCUGUUAAGCGUGUUGUGAAAUGUGGGUGCUCAACAUCUGCACUGCAGCGCGAACUGGCGGACUUGAGUUGGCUGAAAGUAUGCGGAAUUCGUGGUGUAGCGGUGAAAUGCUUAGAUAUCACGAAGAACUCCGAUUGCGAAGGCAGCAUGCUGUAUCCUUACUGACGCUGAAGCUCGAAGGUGCGGGUAUCGAACAGGAUUAGAUACCCUGGUAGUCCGCACGGUAAACUAUGGAUGCCCGCUGUUGGCGAUAUAUUGUCAGCGGCCAAGCGAAAGCGUUAAGCAUCCCACCUGGGGAGUACGCCGGCAACGGUGAAACUCAAAGGAAUUGACGGGGGCCCGCACAAGCGGAGGAACAUGUGGUUUAAUUCGAUGAUACGCGAGGAACCUUACCCGGGCUUGAACUGCACAGGACUGAUACAGAGAUGUUGAUUCCCUUCGGGGCCUGUGCGGAGGUGCUGCAUGGUUGUCGUCAGCUCGUGCCGUGAGGUGUCGGCUUAAGUGCCAUAACGAGCGCAACCCCUUUCGUCAGUUGCCAUCAGGUAUUGCUGGGCACUCUGGCGACACUGCCACCGUAAGGUGCGAGGAAGGUGGGGAUGACGUCAAAUCAGCACGGCCCUUACGUCCGGGGCUACACACGUGUUACAAUGGGAGGUACAGAGGGCCGGCGCCUGGCAACAUGCGUCCAAUCCUUAAAGCCUUCCUCAGUUCGGAUUGGGGUCUGCAACCCGACCCCAUGAAGCUGGAUUCGCUAGUAAUCGCGCAUCAGCCAUGGCGCGGUGAAUACGUUCCCGGGCCUU
rnacentral:rRNA from 1 species